CACGUAGGGGGCAAGCGUUUGUCCGGAUUUAUUGGGCGUAAAGAGCUCGUAGGCGGUUCGGUAAGUUGGGUGUGAAACCUCCAGGCUCAACCUGGAGACGCCACCCGAUACUGCUGUGACUAGAGUCCGGUAGGGGAGCGUGGAAUUCCUGGUGUAGCGGUGAAAUGCGCAGAUAUCAGGAGGAACACCAGCGGCGAAGGCGGCGCUCUGGGCCGGAACUGACGCUGAGGAGCGAAAGCGUGGGUAGCAAACAGG
rnacentral:rRNA from 1 species